rnacentral:lncRNA from 1 species
AUUUAUUUGGCAAAAUUAUUCAGUCCAGCUUUUAAAAUUACUACAGCCAUGCACAACUUACAAAAAAGCAUAGUAAGAGAAUAUUAUAUACCAAAUAACCUUUAUGCAAACAAAUCAAUGAACAUAAUGCAAAUGUUACAAAGCAAUAUCUAGCUUUAUGGAAAAGGUAUAAUGCAGCUAUUACUAUGUUAAAAUCGAUCAUCUUUUAAACAUCAUUUCUUAACUUUCCAAAAUGCAUAGAAAACUGAGAAAUUUAAAAAAUAUACUUACCCUUCAAUUUAUUUAGAAACCUCUGCUCUUGGUGAAAAGCAGAAAUUAUUUCACUGCUCACUUUCCCUGAAGCUAUGAACUUAAACAUUAAAUCAGUGAACACCACCUCUGGACCACACUAGUUUGUUAGACACUACUGCUAUGUGGAAGAGUUCUGCUGCAUCUAAGCUAUAUACGGUGUGCAAUGGAUAACCUAAUAUGCCUUUCAUUUAACUGGCUGGGCAGGUUUCUACCGUCUGUGGAACAUGGAAUCAAACCAGAAUAUGUUGGCACAACAGGCCAGUAAAACCGGUUCUUCCGUAGAUCCAGAACCUGUCCAACCAGUCUGUAUCAAAGGCUAGCCCAACAUGCUGCAGCGGCUCAGCUCUGCUAAGCUUGUACUGGAAUGACGGGGGAAAUGGAAGGAGAAAAAAAAACAAUGCUAAAAAGCCUGGAGAUGACCACAUAUGAAAGGACCAUAUGUGCAAAGGACUGCUGGAAAAUGAAUCAGACGUGCAAAAACAACAACAACAAGAACAAACCAAAAAAACAGGCUUUGCUAAAAAUUGCUAUGUUGUUACGCUGGUCUCAAACUUCUGGCCUCAAGCGAUGCUCCCAUCUCUGCCUCCCCAAGUGCCCGGAUUAAAGGUAUGAGUCACAGGCCAUUGUACCUGGCCAGUUUUGUUUUCUUUUCU